rnacentral:rRNA from 1 species
CGGUUAAUCGGACUCAACGCCGGAAACUCACCAGAUAAGACAGCUGAAUGAUAGUCGGGCUGAAGACUCUACUUGACUAGCUGAGAGGAGGUGCAUGGCCGUCGUCAGUUCGUACUGUGAAGCAUCCUGUUAAGUCAGGCAACGAGCGAGACCCACGCCAACAGUUGCUAGCUCGUCCUCCGGGAUGGAGAGGACACUGUUGGGACCGCCUCUGCUAAAGAGGAGGAAGGAAUGGGCAACGGUAGGUCAGCAUGCCCCGAAUUAUCUGGGCUACACGCGGGCUACAAUGGGUGGGACAAUGGGUAUCGACACCGAAAGGUGAAGGCAAUCUCCUAAACCCAUCCUUAGUUCGGAUUGUGGGCUGCAACUCGCCCACAUGAAGCUGGAAUCUGUAGUAAUCGUGUUUCAAAAUAGCACGGUGAAUAUGUCCCUGCUCCUU